UACGUAGGGCGCAAGCGUUAUCCGGAAUUGUUGGGCGUAAAGAGCUCGUAGGCGGUUUGUCGCGUCUGCCGUGAAAGUCCGGGGCUUAACUCCGGAUCUGCGGUGGGUACGGGCAGACUUGAGUGAUGUAGGGGAGACUGGAAUUCCUGGUGUAGCGGUGAAAUGCGCAGAUAUCAGGAGGAACACCGAUGGCGAAGGCAGGUCUCUGGGCUGUAACUGACGCCGAGGAGCGAAAGCAUGGGGAGCGAACAGG
rnacentral:rRNA from 1 species